CUUCAGGUUGGCCAAGAAUUGGUCCUGAACAUAAAUGCCAGAUACAUUGAUGACUUAGUAUGGCUUCUAUUUACUUUUGUGAAGGAAGAGGUAGGAAAGAGAAUCAGAUCAUUUUUUUGUGUGAUGAAUAAACAUACAAACCUGAAAUUUACAAGUAUUAUAGAUGAGAAAAACAGAAAACUGCUGCCAGUUUAGAAAGAAAACUGCAAGAAGUAACUCUAUUCCCUGUAGGCUUUGUAAAGGGGUAAGGACAUUGACUGUAAAAGCAGAGGAAGAAAUCAGCAAGGCACCCUGGUGGAAAUUGCCACAGUCUCUCCAGGCACUAACAAAGCCAGCCUGAAGGUAUUCCUCCGGAGAGAUGGGUCUCACAAAAUCAGAUCUACUUCCUGCACGUGAAAAGAGAGGCAGGAACCUAAGGAAUGUGGAUAAGGAUGAACUGCAACAUAUGUGUGUACUGUUUCUCAAGUAACAAAGGAGAAAAUAUGUUUAUCUUUUAUUAGAACUUGCUCC
rnacentral:lncRNA from 1 species